rnacentral:rRNA from 1 species
UACGUAGGGUGCAAGCGUUGUCCGGAAUUAUUGGGCGUAAAGAGCUCGUAGGCGGUCUGUCGCGUCGGCUGUGAAAACUCGGGGCUCAACCCCGAGCCUGCAGUCGAUACGGGCAGACUAGAGUGCUGUAGGGGAGACUGGAAUUCCUGGUGUAGCGGUGAAAUGCGCAGAUAUCAGGAGGAACACCGGUGGCGAAGGCGGGUCUCUGGGCUGACACUGACGCUCAUGCACGAAAGCGUGGGGAGCAAACAGG